GGUAUUUGAAGAUGUGGUUGACCAUGGUGCGUACGCUUUAUUUAUGACGUAGGACACAUGGUCUACUCCUUCUCAAUAUC
rnacentral:pre_miRNA from 1 species